rnacentral:tRNA from 1 species
GCUGGAAUGGUCUAGUUGGUUAUGAUGACUGCCUAACACGCAGUAGAUCCCGAGUUCGACUCUCGGUCCCAGUA